AAGAACAUGGACGGCAUACGGGUCAACGAAGGAAAAAUUCAGGCUCUUGAGUUGGCCUGAAUUUUUCCUUCGGCUGACACGUACGCCAUCCAA